rnacentral:rRNA from 1 species
UACGUAGGGUCCGAGCGUUGUCCGGAAUUACUGGGCGUAAAGAGCUCGUAGGUGGUUUGUCGCGUUGUUCGUGAAAACUCACAGCUCAACUGUGGGCGUGCGGGCGAUACGGGCAGACUGGAGUACUGCAGGGGAGACUGGAAUUCCUGGUGUAGCGGUGGAAUGCGCAGAUAUCAGGAGGAACACCGGUGGCGAAGGCGGGUUGCUGGGCCGACACUGACGCUGAUGCGCGAAAGCCAGGGGAGCGAACGGG